CAGUCGCCGCGGUAAAACGUAGGUCCCGAGCGUUGUCCGGAUUUAUUGGGCGUAAAGCGAGCGCAGGCAGUUAGAUAAGUCUGAAGUUAAAGGAUGUGGCUUAACCAUAGUACGCUUUGGAAACUGUUUAACUUGAGUGCAAGAGGGGAGAGUGGAAUUCCAUGUGUAGCGGUGAAAUGCGUAGAUAUAUGGAGGAACACCGGUGGCGAAAGCGGCUCCCUGGCUUGUAACUGACGCUGAGGCUCGAAAGCGUGGGGAGCAAACAGGAUUAGAUACCCCCGUAGUCCCUGUCUCUUAUACA
rnacentral:rRNA from 1 species